GUGAGACUAAGAAUGAAUGGGAUAAGAGUGUGAGUGAAUCGUUUUCUGGCACUACGUCAGAUGAUUUGGGCUGGGAUUCUGUCUCCUCUUGGUCUACUGGAUUGACCAGAGAGCAUUUUGAUGGGCAGUCUGUAGGCCACAGGACUAGUGGAGGGGGGGAUUCACCAAAAUCACCACAGUCUUCAUUAGUUUCUGGGUUGCAAGAGAUUGAAGACAGAAUAAGGGAAUUAGAGGCGGAAAACAGGAAAAGCAAGGGCUUUGUGGACAAGUGGGGUGAAAGGAUGAGGGAGAUGAGCAUCCUUUUGAAACAAGUAAAAGAGCCUGGUGCUAGAGGAUCUUAUCUCAAAGACUCAGAGAAGGCCGAGAUGUAUCGCUUGCACAAGGAGAACCCCGAGGUAUAUACCAUCGAGAAGCUCGCUAAAGAUUACAGGAUUAUGAGGCAAAGGGUUCAUGCCAUUCUU
rnacentral:misc_RNA from 1 species